UACGUAGGACCCAAGCGUUAUCCGGAGUGACUGGGCGUAAAGAGUUGCGUAGGCGGCUUAGUAAGUGGAUAGUGAAACCUGGUGGCUCAACCAUACAGACUAUUAUCCAAACUGCUAAGCUCGAGAAUGGUAGAGGUAGCUGGAAUUUCUAGUGUAGGAGUGAAAUCCGUAGAUAUUAGAAGGAACACCAAUGGCGUAGGCAGGCUACUGGACCAUUUCUGACGCUAAGGCACGAAAGCGUGGGGAGCGAACCGG
rnacentral:rRNA from 1 species